rnacentral:rRNA from 1 species
UACGUAGGGUCCGAGCGUUGUCCGGAAUUACUGGGCGUAAAGAGCUCGUAGGUGGUUUGUCGCGUUGUUCGUGAAAACUCACAGCUUAACUGUGGGCGUGCGGGCGAUACGGGCAGACUUGAGUACUGCAGGGGAGACUGGAAUUCCUGGUGUAGCGGUGAAAUGCGCAGAUAUCAGGAGGAACACCGGUGGCGAAGGCGGGGUCUCUGGGGCCGAUACUGACGCUGGAGGAGCG